AACGCACAUUGCGCCCUUUGGUAUUCCAAAGGGCAUGCCUGUUUGAGCGUCAUUUGUACCCUCAAGCUUUGCUUGGUGUUGGGCGUCUUGUCUCCAGUUCGCUGGAGACUCGCCUUAAAGUAAUUGGCAGCCGGCCUACUGGUUUCGGAGCGCAGCACAAGUCGCGCUCUCUUCCAGCCAAGGUCAGCAUCCACAAAGCCUUUUUUCAACUUUUGACCUCGGAUCAGGUAGGGAUACCCGCUGAACUUAA
rnacentral:misc_RNA from 1 species